UGGGGAAUAUUGCACAAUGGGCGGAAGCCUGAUGCAGCGACGCCGCGUGGGGGAUGAAGGCCUUCGGGUUGUAAACUUCUUUCGACAGGGACGAAGCUUUUGUGUCGGUACCUGUAUAAGAAGCACCGGCUAACUACGUGCCAGCAGCCGCGGUAAUACGUAGGGUGCGAGCGUUGUCCGGAAUUACUGGGCGUAAAGAGCUCGUAGGUGGUUUGUCGCGUCGUCUGUGAAAUUCCGGGGCUUAACUCCGGGCGUGCAGGCGAUACGGGCUGACUUGAGUGCUGUAGGGGAGACUGGAAUUCCUGGUGUAGCGGUGAAAUGCGCAGAUAUCAGGAGGAACACCGAUGGCGGAGGCAGGUCUCUGGGCAGUAACUGACGCUGAGGAGCGAAAGCAUGGGUAGCGAACAGGAUUAGAUACCCUGGUAGUCCAUGCCGUAAACGGUGGGCGCUAGGUGUAGGGGGCUUCCACGUCUUCUGUGCCGUAGCUAACGCGUUAAGCGCCCCGCCUGGGGAGUACGGCCGCAAGGCUA
rnacentral:rRNA from 1 species